GAUGAACGCUGACAGCAUGCUUAACACAUUCAAGUCAACUGUGGCGGACGGGGGAGUAACGCGUAAAGAACUUGCCUCACAGGUAGGGACAACAUUUGGCAACGAAUACUAAUACAUGAUACUGUGCGAGAGCUUUGCGUCCCAUUCGCUAGUUGGAGAGGUAACGGCUCACAAAGGCGAUGAUGGGUAGCCGGCCUGUGAGGGUGAUCGGCCACAAGGGGCAUGAGACAUGGCGAUUAAGCCUACGGGAGGCAGCAGUGGGGAAUAUAGGACAAUGGACCAAAGUCUGAUCCAGCAAUUCUGUGUGCAAGAUGAAGUUUUCGGAAUGGAAAGUGCUUUCAGUUGGGAAGCGUUACUAACAGAAGAAGUGACGGCUAAGUACGUGCCAGCAGCCGCGGUAAUAC
rnacentral:rRNA from 1 species